GCGGUGGAGUAUGUGGUUUAAUUCGAUGCAACGCGAAGGACCUUACCUGGUCUUGACAUCCCGGAGACCCUUAGGAACUAGGGGUGCUUCCAUCUGGAAGAAUCUGGAGACAGGUGCUGCAUGGCUGUCGUCAGCUCGUGUCGUGAGAUGUUGGGUUAAGUCCCGCAACGAGCGCAACCCUUGCCUUUAGUUGCCAGCAGUUCGGCUGGGCACUCUAAAGGGACUGCCGGUGUUAAACCGGAGGAAGGUGGGGAUGACGUCAAGUCCUCAUGGCCUUUAUGACCAGGGCUACACACGUACUACAAUGGCCGAUACAAAGGGCAGCGACACUGCGAGGUGAAGCCAAUCCCGUAAAAUCGGUCUCAGUCCGGAUUGGAGUCUGCAACUCGACUCCAUGAAGUUGGAAUCGCUAGUAAUCGUGGAUCAGCAUGCCACGGUGAAUACGUUCCCGGGCCUU
rnacentral:rRNA from 1 species